UGUCGAUGAAACGAACGCUCUUUCUUACGCUGAUAAUGAUGACAAUUACAAUUACGAUACCGAGCUCAUUCCUCAUUCGGCAUUGAAUUAUGUGCAUUAUCAAGUGCCCGUAUGCGUGAGCUACGCAACGAUAUUCGGUCAAUGUCCUGCGUUUCAUUGGGAGCACCUUAUAGCUUCACGCCAUGUCCAGGUGGGGAAGAGUCAUUAGAGCGGCAUCGAUAUCAGAUAGGUGACCGGGAACUGGCCAUCCGCCAGGGUUGUGACGUCAUUCCGUAAAUUUCCUAUACAUUUAAAUUGGACACGUCUCCGAAAGUCACCGGAGAGGCUUGCGCAAACCAUGAGGGCUAAAAAUUUCCCGUGCGGAUUAUCAUGGCGGUCAUCGUUCGACGCCCACCAGAUCUUGCGAGAUCGUCUUGUUCCGAUCUUGGCGAGCCUCCAAGGUCAUAUUUUGAGCUAAUUUCGAUCAUUGCAUUUUUUUUUUUUCUUCACAACUCAGCUCUACCGUAUUCUGCGACAUUUAAUGGUUGAUAUGUCCAACGAGAGAUGGUGACUAAUGGAAGUAAGACCGUUUCACAAAAUUAAUGUUUUAUGUAACAUACCCCACAAUGUACAUCGUCAGCAGUCGUGUUCUACACGACAAUUUAUUUUACAGAAAUUUUUCAGCAAUUUCCAAGUUACCUCUUCACGCAAUACCAUUAUACUAUUCUAUUUACACGUAACUAAAUAAUAAUUAAAUUCAAUUAACAAAUCAUUAUUAAUCAUUACAAAUCAUUACUAUCACCAUAUUUGUAUCGUUCAGAUAAAGUCGCAUCAAUUUUUCUCGACACUUUAUCGUUGAGCACAGUCUUGCCUUGUCUUUUUUUUUUUUAUUUUUUAGUUUCUGUUUGCAUGAGAUAAAUUUUAUGGCACGUUAUUGCAUAAAACUGA